GGGUCGAUGGCGUAGCUGGUUAUCGCAUCUGUCUAACAUAGUAAGGGACAUAGUUGUGCACAGAAGGUCCUCAGUUCGAACCUGGGUCGACUCA